CAGCAAGUGCUGGUGACAGGGCAGGCUCAGAGCAAUGCCUGUGACACCACGGGUCCAUGUCAGAGAGGGGCACUGUGAGCUCAGGGCAGAGGGGCUGACCCCAGCGCUCACGGAACCCCCCGCUGCCACUCUCGAGCUACCAUGGCAGAGAGAAUUCCUCCACGCACGCUGACGGUGCUUCCGACACCCGACGCCGCUUUACGUGGAUCCUUCGUGCCUCCACCGGCCACUGCUGCAAUGCAGCCCAGCAUUGGCGGAGCAGUGCCGGUGUCCUUCCAACCCCUCCACGUCCCCACUGUCACCUACGUGGUGCCUCAGGCCUCUGUCUGGCCUGGGGUGCCGGGUGUCCAGGGACAGGGAGCGCAGCUGCCACCUGGGGGGAUGCCCCCAGCCGUGGUUCAGCUGCCACCUGGGGGCAUGUCCCCAACUGUGGUUCAGUUGCCACCUGGGGGCAUGUCCUCAACUGUGGUUCAGUUGCCACCUGGGGGCAUGUCCUCAACUGUGGUUCAGUUGCCACCUGGGGUGAUGCCUCUAAUGAUGGGUCAGCUGCCACCUGGGGGGAUGCCCCCAGCCGUGGUUCAGUUGCCACCUGGGGGCAUGUCCCCAGCUGUGCUUCAGCUGCCACCUGCGGGGAUGCCCACAGUUGUCAGUCAGCUCCCAGCUGGGGGCAUGUCCCCAGCUGUGCUUCAGCUGCCACCUGCGGGGAUGCCCACAGUUGUCAGUCAGCUCCCAGCUGGGGGGAUGCUCCCAAACUUUGGUCAGCUGCCACCUGGGGGGCAGCAGUUACCCCUGGUCACGCUCCUACCUGGAGAGAUGAAGCCAGGUAUGCCUGCCCCCCGCGCCCCUGCCCGCUGCUGGGAACAUCCCCUGGUGGCAGGGACGCAGCAGCCCCAGCAACCGAUGGAGCUGCGGCCUGGGGCUGUGUUGCACGGGGAGCCCCCGCAGCCCGCAGACAGCUGCCCGCCGCAGGGCCCCGACCGCCCCGGCCCCUCAACAGUCCUCCGAGGAGCUCCAGUGUGCCCCCGUCCCACCACGGCUCCGCUCACCUGCAGCACCGCAGCGCUGGAAUCAGG
rnacentral:lncRNA from 1 species